rnacentral:rRNA from 1 species
AUUGAACGCUGGCGGCAGGCCUAACGCAUGCAAGUCGAGCGGCAGCGGGAAAGUAGCUUGCUACUUUUGCCGGCGAGCGGCGGACGGGUGAGUAAUGCCUGGGGAUCUGCCCAGUCGAGGGGGAUAACUACUGGAAACGGUAGCUAAUACCGCAUACGCCCUACGGGGGAAUGCAGGGGACCUUCGGGCCUUGCGCGAUUGGAUGAACCCAGGUGGGAUUAGCUAGUUGGUGAGGUAAUGGCUCACCAAGGCGACGAUCCCUAGCUGGUCUGAGAGGAUGAUCAGCCACACUGGAACUGAGACACGGUCCAGACUCCUACGGGAGGCAGCAGUGGGGAAUAUUGCACAAUGGGGGAAACCCUGAUGCAGCCAUGCCGCGUGUGUGAAGAAGGCCUUCGGGUUGUAAAGCACUUUCGGCGAGGAGGAAAGGUUGGUAGCUAAUAACUGCCAGCUGUGACGUUACUCGCAGAAGAAGCACCGGCUAACUCCGUGCCAGCCGCCGCGGUAACAC